AACGAACGCUGGCGGCAGGCCUAACACAUGCAAGUCGAGCGCGCCCUUCGGGGUGAGCGGCGGACGGGUGAGUAACGCGUGGGAACGUGCCCUUUUCUACGGAAUAGCCUCGGGAAACUGAGAGUAAUACCGUAUACGCCCUUUGGGGGAAAGAUUUAUCGGAAAAGGAUCGGCCCGCGUUGGAUUAGGUAGUUGGUGGGGUAAUGGCCUACCAAGCCGACGAUCCAUAGCUGGUUUGAGAGGAUGAUCAGCCACACUGGGACUGAGACACGGCCCAGACCCCACGGGAGGGCAGAAGGGGGGAUUUUUAAACAAGGGGGGGAACCCUAUCCAACCCUUGCGGGGGGGGUGAUGAAGGCUUAAGGUUGGAAAACCCUUUUCCGUGGGGAAGAAAUGACGGGAACCAGCAAAAAAAGCCCGGCUAAACCCGUU
rnacentral:rRNA from 1 species